rnacentral:lncRNA from 1 species
GGGGACAGCUCUGCAACUGCUAGCCCCAGCUCCUGAGGGUCCACUUAACUCCACCCGCAAGUUCAUAAUUAGUCCCCUGUACGUAAACUCUCCUUUAAUCUAGACUCAUCAGAGAGUACCAUCUGUUUCCUGCCGAGACCCUGACUAAUAGAGACAUGAAACCCACUUUUGAGAUGUGUGCACACUGGAGGGAGGCGGGGCGGGAGAAGCAAGAUGAAGAGAAGGAAGGGACAGGACAGGAGAACAGGAACGUGUCUCAGAGAAAAAAAAAAGCUACGCUUUUUGAAAGUUAUCUUGCAGUUCAGGAGCUCGGAAGCGAUCCUGGAGGCAGUGGUGGGACAUCACUGCAGGACCUGCUCCGGAGAAGAGGACUGCCCUCACAGCUGCAUCGCGCAAGAUGACUGACGAGCAGCGUGGGAGAAAGCAGGGCUGGGAACAGGAAGAUUGGUCGGUAAAAGUUAUUACCAGUGCACAGCUCCCAGCCUUCACUGCUCACAGUCAGGGAGCUGCUGAAGUAGAGCCCGGAUGGCAUCUCACUGGGGGAAGCCUGGGAGACUCAUGCCUGGGACAGGGGAAAGUCAGAUGGCAUCUCAGUCUCCAUGGACUUUGUGACUACAUUUUCUGGAUCUUCCCAAGAUGGGGAAUUUGCAGUGUGCAGGCUCCUGCCUCCAGAUCAACCCUAGAGAAGCCAGAGAAGCAAGAGGGGAAGAUUCCGGGAAGGGAGAAUGACAAUGACCACGCAGACCUGCUGCGUGCAGUUAUCAAGCCCACUUUACAGAUGAGAAAACGGAGACACGAACACUGGUUAAGCAAUCGGCCUGCAAUUGAUGACAGGCAGUGGUGGGAUUUGAACCCAAGCAGUGUGAGUCCAGCCUGGAACAUUGUACCCGCCGCCCUCUGGCUGGAUCAGGGAGCCCAGCAGAAGGGGAAAUGCGAGGAUGAAGGCCGCAAGAGAGGGAAACUUGGGAGCUCUUCCCGAAGCCUGUGGAACGGAUGAAGGGAGGGAAGAUAGAACACGAAAGCCAAGAAAUAAAGGGGAUGCAGUCAGAGGGGCAAUGUGCGGAGUGGAGAGACCCGGAACGAGGAACCGAGGAGGAAAAUGGGACAACUCCAUCGUCCCUAAACCCACUGCUUACGGAAGGCCCAACCCCGCUCCUGACCUGACAAGGGUGUGCGUUCCAGAGCCCACCCCCUCUGCCCGUCCUCCACCUGCCAGCGGUGGGCGACUUGUCAACAAAACCCCGAACCCCGACGUGGCCGUCCUGCUGGCUCUCACGGAGGAGGUCUCCCCGUCCAAGUCCGGCCCUCCGGGGUGGGAGAAACGGAGGGGAAAGCAGAGCCCCGUACGGGAGGCAGAGCGGCCUCCUCUGCGAUGCAGCUGAGAGCCAGACAGAGACGAUGGAGGGGCCUCUGGUCCUGAACCGUCUUUACUGGCGCCACGGACACGGCCGUUGGCUUCCCAGUCGUCCGUGGCUGGUGAGGCCCACAGCAGCAGGGCCGAGGAGCCGCGACAGAGACGGGCCGGCCCACAAAGAGGACACCUUAUUUACUAGCUGGCUCUUGACAGAAAACAUCAGCUGACCCCUGACCUAGGUUAGGGCUUCUCAGUCAAGAUGUGGCAGGACAUUUUAUCCCUUGCUGUCCCCAUCCGUCCAUCCCACCCCCGCGGGCUCCUCGCUGGGAUUCACCCUCACCUGCGGCCCCCUGGGGGGACGUGCGGCUGCUUGGUUUGCACCUGAGCAGGGAGAGGGCGGUUUCUUCUCCUCUUUUAGGGAAAAGCUGUCAACAACCAGAGGACAGUUCCCUCAGCCCCCAGUUCACUUAGGGAGAGCGAGAACUUGACCUACUGCUCAAGGGAAAAAAAAAAAAAAAACACACACACCUGGAGUCGGGGCUGAGGGCAAGAGGGGCUCUCUCUGCGGGAGAGGGGGUGUCUGUCCGCCUGGCCUGGACCCCCCACCCCCCCACCCCUGCAGAGAUAAGGUUUCUCAGCAGAGGAGGCGGCCCCUUCCUGCAGAGGUUCCUGACUUGGCUGCAGUGUUCGGUGUUGCUGACACGCUUUUCUGCUUCUCAAGUUAUCCGAGCACAGGCUGAGUUGGGGGGGAGGGGGGGAGAGGGGCCGGGGUGCCCGGCCAGACGCAGCCUUCCUCAAAUUAGGUCACUCUACGUUGAGGUCACGUGAAACCAAGGACCCUUUUCCAGGCUUCCUGACAUUGGCACGGCUCCCUGUGCCAUCUCUGGAAUGCAGGGCGGUGAACACUGCAGAGCAGGGCACCACACGUGCAGAGAAGCGUGAGGCACGGAACCGCGCUGGGGGAGAAGCACUGACGUCCACUCUCUGCAGAAUGACGCUGGAGACGUGGACGCAUCUGCCCCUGGCUCUGAGUCUCCCCGCUGACCUGGCCUGUCUUUCUAACUCCCACGUUUAUUCCCGGGCCGCCCUAUCCUCCGAGAGCGACCACACACGGGGGCCUACGUGCCCACCUGGCCGACAGCAUAAAGCUCAAAGCCUGACUCUCCGCACGCCCUGCCCUUCCUCCCCUCUCCAGCAAGUCCUUACUCCCUGCACUGCCUCAGUGACGCUUCUGUGUGGCUCCAUAAGGGACCAGGAACUUAAAGAUGGAAGAGGACCGUUGCAGAGAUUUACUUAGGGUCCCCGAGCAAGCCGGCUGCUGAGGGGCGCUGCAAGCCAGGUUUUCUGGGGCGCCCCCACUGCAUCACACCUGUCGGCCUCUGGCCGCUGCGCUCCGAGCAUCUCCGUACGCCUGGCGGUUGAAUGGCAGGCAGAGUGGACGCUCCCUGAGAGCAGGGAGUCUGCGGGUCACGCUCUGCGACAUCCCUGUUACAGGCACUCCACACCUGCCUGUCCGGUGACGGUCUCUAGGCCGGCCUCAUCACCGCCUCAUCCCCGUCCACGUGACUUGUUUCCCUUCCUUUUUCUUUUGUCCUCUUAGGGCCGCAACCACGGCAUAUGGUGGUUCCCAGGCUAGGGGUCCGAUCAGCACUACAAUUGCCGGCCUACACCACAGCUCACAGCCACUCGGAAUCUGAGCCAUGUCUCCAACCUACACCAAAGCUCACGGCAACACCGGAUCCUUAACCCACCGAGCGAGGCCAGGGAUCGAACCUGCAUCCUCGUGGAUGCUAGUCACAUGCGUUUCCACGGAGCCACGACAGGAACGCCUCCCUUUCAUUCUUUAGAGGGCCAGAUUGUGGUUUUUCUUUAAUGUGGGGUCAAGCUGGUGACCUCAACCUCUGCCUCCCAGGGCCUUAAAUGGAAAUAACAUCCUGAGCGUAAGGUGAGCCCCAGGUCCAGCACGCGCGGCUCCUUCUUUGGCUUCCCUGCUGUCAGGAUGUCUCCUUUCAUGCUUGGGCAUCGCUGACUCCACUGUUGACAUUCUGCCUCACUCAGCAGCUCCAUCUGGUCGUCAGAUCCCUCCUCCCUGUUUGAAUUCUGUAUCUAUGUGUUUAAGUAAAGCCAGAAAACACUCACUCCGCCAGCUCCAAAUGAGUUCUUCCUUUCAUGCCUUUUCUGUUUCCUGGCUCCAGGCCAGAAUCUCCCUCCGUUAGAAUUAGGAAAUGGGGCUCAGUCAUAUGUCUUCACCUAGUUAGCACCUCUCUUCUGGGACGGUUUCUCUUCGGGUGGCUCCCGCACGUGCCAGGCUUUGCUCCCAGUAAUUCCCAAGUUGUGAGUGUUGGGGGCAGGGGCCGGGCGGUGUGAGUCUGAGCUCUGACUUUCAGCACGUGGGGCGUGGGGGGAGGGGGAGGGAGGGUGCCGUGUGUUGUCACACGAGCCAUUCUGUCACAGUGAUGGAAGGAAACAGUUUCUUGGCCACACGUCCAGGAUGCGCUCUAAGGAAGCCAGGAAGGAUGGCUCAUCUCUCUCGAGCUAUAUUUGAAACCUCUACAUGUACCAACAGCUUUUCUCUCCUUGUCUACCUCGAGUGUUGUUGUUGUUAUUUUAUUUUUUUAUUUAUCUUGUUUUUUUUUUUUUCUUUUUCGGACCACGCUUGUGGCAAGUGGGAGUCAGGCUAGGGGUCAAAUCAGAGCUGCAGCUGCCACAGCCACAGCCACGCCAGAUCCGAGCUGCAUCUAUAACCUACACUACGGUUUGUGGCAACGCUGGGUCCUUAACCCACUGAGUGAGGCCAGGGAUGGAACCCUGGUCCUUGUGGACACUAGUUGGGUUCAUUACUGCUGAGCCGUGAUGGGAAAUCCCUGUUGUUAUUUUCAUUUUAAUUUUUUAUGCUGAGUUUCAUCAAGGUACCUAGUAAUCAGUCACUCAAGUCAAGAUCCCGUAGAAGUCACGAGCUGGCACCAGCUCUCCUCCUGGUGUCGCUGGCAUGUCUUGGGAAGCUGCCUCCACCCUGCUCCUCCUCUCCGUCCCCCUGACGCUCCCCUGUACCACCCUGCACGGGGACCAUCGGCUUCCUUGUCUCUCCCUCUCUGUCUCCUCUUUUCACACAGAGCCUGGCUCCUGAUAGAAGAUCAGCAAAAGGCAGUCGAGUGGAUGAAUAAAUGAAAUUUUCAUGACAUCCAUUUUCAUUCUCAGGUUUCAAUGAGGACGGAUGUACAAGUAUCACAAAAGCAGAAAUGACCUGAGGGAAAUCUCAUAUUGAUUAUCCAAUUAUUUUUUCAGUUUUAAACAGACUGCUUCUGCAGUUCCCCCGUUUCAGUGACCUACGACUCUGUACCCACCAGCUCCACCAUUUCUUACGGGUCUGUAGUGGGCGGUUCUUCAGCGCCGAGCACGGUGGCCGAGGCUGCACGCGAGCUGUGUUCAUGCAGGGGCCAGGGCUGGGGCAUUCCUGAUGGUCUCUGCCCUCUAAGCUCUUUCUCACAGGGCUGCUAACCAUUCAAUGAUUCUGCCCAAGCUCCUUAAAGCACAGCAGAUGGAUUCGAAGAGGAAGCAUCUCAAGAGGCAAAGCCUCAAGGUACCAGUGCUGACUGAGGCUCUGUUUCAUCCUAUUGGCUGCUGUUCUGUUGGCCAAAUCCAGAGUCAGCGUGGAAGGGGCCACAGGAGGACGUGUCACGUCUACCACACCUCCGGUCCUUCCUCAGUAUGUUCUUGGCUCAUAUUCUGAUGGUUCGGAUGCACCUUGUAGUCUGGUUGACCUUGAGCUGACCAACAACAUAUGCUCAACACCGACUGGAGGCCAAGCGAUAGGAAAUAGGGUCCUGACCUCAAGACUAUACAUAUGUAUAUGUGUAUGUAUAUAUACAUGUACAUGUGUGUGUAUAUAUAUGUAUGUAUAUGUAUAUAUGUGUAUAUAUAUGUAUAUGAGACCUACAGGAUACGUCUUUGGAAAGAUGUUAAGCCAUCCACCAGUGUCAUUUAUGAAUAUCAUAAACACGUUGGUUGCUGGAGCUACUGAAGUAAGCGCAGUGAAAACGGGAGUCAUCAGAGUUCCUAUAUGGUCCAGACUGACACCUCUAUUUUCCUGCGAGAUAUCUGCUGUCUGUUGAUGCCAAUUCUAAGUACAGGGACUCCAGUAAUUCUCUUUGAGAAAAACUUUGCCCAAUGACUAAAACAGUUGUAGCUCUUUGCCGUGAUUAUCAUACAAUCUAUACGGUUGCUUUGUUCAGCAUUUAGCCUCCUCGCUCCUAAUUAUUCACCUAAAUCAUCCAAGGCUACCCUGAAGAAGGUGAGUGAGAGGCAGUAUCAUCAAAGGCAGUGGUUCUCAGUCUGGUCCUCGACCGGCAGCAUCUUGGAAGUGAUCAGACAUGCACCUUCUCAGGCCCCACUCGGAUCUACUGAAUCAGAAAUUCUGGGGUUAGGGCCCAGCAAUCUGUGUUUUGACAUCCGUCAGUGAUUUGGAGGCCUACUAAGGUUUGAGAAUCACAGCUGCGGGAGUUCUGUGGUGGCUCAGCCGGUUAGGAACCUCCCCCAGUGUGUCUGAGGAUGCAGGUUCAAUCCCUGGCCUUGCCCAGUGGGAUAAGGAUUCGGCGUUGCUGCGAGCUGCAUGUGGCUGUGGCUGUGGUGUAGGCCGGUAGCUUCAGCCCUGAUUCAACCCUAGCCCAGGAACUUCCACAUACCACAGGUGCGGCCAUGGCCAUAACAAGAAAAGAAAAGGAAAAAAAAA